CCCUGCCCUUUGUACACACCGCCCGUCGCUACUACCGAUUGAAUGGUUUAGUGAGGCCUCGGGAGGGCUGAUGCCUGGCGCGCGCGCAAGCGUGUGUCUUGUCGGCCCGAACUUGGUCAAACUUGAUC
rnacentral:rRNA from 1 species